GAAAUGCGAUAAUUAAUGUGAAUUGCAGAAUUCAGUGAAUCAUCGAGUCUUUGAACGCACAUUGCGCCCCCUGGUAUUCCGGGGGCAUGCCUGUCCGAGCGUCAUUGCUGCCCUCAAGCACGGCUUGUGUGUUGGGCUUCCGUCCCUGGCAACGGGGACGGGCCCAAAAGGCAGUGGCGGAACCAUGUCUGGUCCUCGAGCGUAUGGGGCUUUGUCACCCGCUCCCGUAGGUCCAGCUGGCAGCUAGCCUCGCAACCAAUCUUUUUAACCAGGUUGACCUCGGAUCAGGUAGGGAUACCCGCUGAACUUAAGC
rnacentral:misc_RNA from 1 species